AACGAACGCUGGCGGCGUGCCUAACACAUGCAAGUCGAACGAGAAAGGGGCUUCGGCUCCGAGUAAAGUGGCGCACGGGUGAGUAACACGUGGGUAACCUGCCUCUAAGAUUGGGAUAACUCGUCGAAAGAUGUGCUAAUACCGGAUAAGACCACAGUUCCCGCGGGAACAGGGGUCAAAGGUAGCCUCUGCUUGCAAGCUAUCACUUAGAGAUGGGCCUGCGCACCAUUAGCUAGUUGGUAGGGUAACGGCCUACCAAGGCAAAGAUGGUUAGCUGGUCUGAGAGGAUGAUCAGCCACACUGGAACUGAGACACGGUCCAGACUCCUACGGGAGGCAGCAGUGGGGAAUAUUGCGCAAUGGGCGAAAGCUUGACGCAGCAACGCCGCGUGAGUGAUGAAGGCCUUCGGGUCGUAAAGCUCUGUCGGGAGGAACGAAUGCUCCCAAGGUUAACAGCCUCGGGAGGUGACGGUACCUUCAAAGGAAGCACCGGCUAACUCUGUGCCAGCAGCCGCAGUAAGAC
rnacentral:rRNA from 1 species